CUAGAAAAAAGAAAAGAAAUGGAAGAACGUGAAAAAAGAAAGAUAAUUGCUGAAGAAAAGCACAAGGAAUGGGUUCAGAAAAAGAAUGAGCAAAAAAGAAAAGAAAGAGAACAAAAAAUUAAUAAAGAAAUGGAGGAAAAAGCAGCAAAGGAACUGGAGAAAGAAUACUUGCAAGAAAAAGCAAAAGAAAAAUAUCAAGAAUGGUUAAAGAAAAAAAAUGCUGAAGAAUGUGAGAGGAAGAAGAAAGAAAAGGAAAAAGAAAAACAACAGCAAGCUGAAAUACAGGAGAAAAAGGAAAUAGCAGAAAAAAAGUUUCAAGAAUGGUUGGAAAAUGCGAAACAUAAACCUCGUCCAGCUGCAAAGAGCUAUGGUUAUGCCAAUGGAAAACUUACAGGUUUUUACAGUGGAAAUUCCUAUCCAGAACCAGCCUUUUAUAAUCCAAUUCCGUGGAAACCAAUUCAUAUGCCACCUCCCAAAGAAGCUAAGGAUCUAUCAGGAAGGAAGAGUAAAAGACCUGUGAUAAGUCAGCCACACAAGUCAUCAUCUCUGGGUCUCCCUCUGGCUCUGUUGCCCAGGCUGGAGUGUAAUGGCAUGAUCAUAGCUUACUGUAACCUUGAACUCGUGGGCUCAAAUGAUCCUCUUACCUCAGCCUCCUGAGUAGCUGGAAUCACAGGAGCAUGCCACCAGAUUCCAAGGAUAGGUGAUAUGACAGCUUU
rnacentral:lncRNA from 1 species